UACACUCCUACGGGAGGCAGCAGUGGGGAAUAUUGGACAAUGGGCGCAAGCCUGAUCCAGCCAUGCCGCGUGAGUGAUGAAGGCCCUAGGGUUGUAAAGCUCUUUCACCGGUGAAGAUAAUGACGGUAACCGGAGAAGAAGCCCCGGCUAACUUCGUGCCAGCAGCCGCGGUAAUACGAAGGGGGCUAGCGUUGUUCGGAUUUACUGGGCGUAAAGCGCACGUAGGCGGACUAUUAAGUCAGGGGUGAAAUCCCGGGGCUCAACCCCGGAACUGCCUUUGAUACUGGUAGUCUUGAGUUCGAGAGAGGUGAGUGGAAUUCCGAGUGUAGAGGUGAAAUUCGUAGAUAUUCGGAGGAACACCAGUGGCGAAGGCGGCUCACUGGCUCGAUACUGACGCUGAGGUGCGAAAGCGUGGGGAGCAAACAGGAUUAGAAACCCGUGUAGUCCCAUG
rnacentral:rRNA from 1 species